CAUUUUUUAUGUAUUUAUUUAUUUUUGUUGCAGUAAUUAGUUUAUGCACAAGGUGGCAACCGUGUCCUGGGGGUGUCAAUUCACACUGUAGUCAAAGAAAAACUGCAUAAACAGAACAGACCGGAACGCAUGCAAUCUAUAGCGACAAUGGAGGCCUACAUAGACGAGAGAUUGUGCCAAGAGCCAGUCAGGCGUUCACACAGAAUCUACGUUCACAGAACUCUAGAAACAACAGAGACUCCUCCAGUGAUUUAAUGGUCAAUGAAUGUGUGACUCUGUCCAGAACAUGGAAAAUCACUCCACCUCGCAGACAUAUGUGGGCGUCGGACAAGAUUCCAAAGUCUCCUCACAAUGCCGGGUCUGGCUCGAAGCUCAAGCUGACCAAACACUUCAGUCCUGGACAUUCUGCCUGCAUGUUUAUUGAAAAGCCCUUACUUAGAUACAUGAAAUAAUUCCUCUACAAGGAAAUUUGUAGAAUAGUUAUUUGUUUUUUUUAAUAGUAUUUUAGUGUUGUUGCACUUCUCAUAACUGUUUCCAAAUAAUUUUUAUUUGUCAUGCAUUCUUGCUUUCUUUCUUGUCUUGUAUAGC